rnacentral:rRNA from 1 species
ACGGGUGAGUAACGCGUGGGAAUCUACCCAUCUCUACGGAAUAACGCAUGGAAACGUGUGUUAAUACCGUAUACGUCCUUCGGGAGAAAGAUUUAUCGGAGAUGGAUGAGCCCGCGUUGGAUUAGCUAGUUGGUGGGGUAAAGGCCUACCAAGGCGACGAUCCAUAGCUGGUCUGAGAGGAUGAUCAGCCACACUGGGACUGAGACACGGCCCAGACUCCUACGGGAGGCAGCAGUGGGGAAUAUUGGACAAUGGGCGCAAGCCUGAUCCAGCCAUGCCGCGUGAGUGAUGAAGGCCCUAGGGUUGUAAAGCUCUUUCACCGGUGAAGAUAAUGACGGUAACCGGAGAAGAAGCCCCGGCUAACUUCGUGCCAGCAGCCGCGGUAAUACGAAGGGGGCUAGCGUUGUUCGGAUUUACUGGGCGUAAAGCGCACGUAGGCGGACUAUUAAGUCAGGGGUGAAAUCCCGGGGCUCAACCCCGGAACUGCCUUUGAUACUGGUAGUCUUGAGUUCGAGAGAGGUGAGUGGAAUUCCGAGUGUAGAGGUGAAAUUCGUAGA